UGGCGGCAGGCCUAACACAUGCAAGUCGAGCGGUAACAGGACUAGCUUGCUAGUUGCCGACGAGCGGCGGACGGGUGCGUAACACGUAGGAAUCUGCCCGGUAGUGGGGGAUAGCCCGGAGAAAUCCGGAUUAAUACCGCAUACGCCUUACGAGGGAAAGGAGGGGACUCUUCGGAGCCUUUCGCUAUAGGAUGAGCCUGCGUCGGAUUAGCUAGUUGGUGGGGUAAAGGCCUACCAAGGCGACGAUCCGUAGCUGGUCUGAGAGGAUGAUCAGCCACACUGGGACUGAGACACGGCCCAGACUCCUACGGGAGGCAGCAGUGGGGAAUAUUGCACAAUGGGGGAAACCCUGAUGCAGCCAUGCCGCGUGUGUGAAGAAGGCUCUAGGGUUGUAAAGCACUUUCAGCGAGGAGGAAAGGUUGCUGGUUAAUACCCAGCGGCUGUGACGUUACUCGCAGAAGAAGCACCGGCUAACUCCGUGCCAGCAGCCGCGGUAAUACGGAGGGUGCGAGCGUUAAUCGGAAUUACUGGGCGU
rnacentral:rRNA from 1 species